AAAAAAUGGAAGGAAAAACUAUUUCCCUUUCCUUCCUUUUACUUUCUCUCUUAGCCAUUUCUGUCUCUUCCACUUCUCUUCAAUACCAUACAUUACUUUUACAUUCCCUUCCACUAACUCAACUUCAAAAAUCUCUACAUUUCGAUGCUCAACUACUUUCCGGCGAUGGCUCCGACCUCGAUCCGGAUAAUGCUCUCUCUCUACAGUUGCAUCAUGUAGACUUAGUAUCUCCUUCGUCCUUCAAUGCUACACCACAUGCGCUGUUUAAGCUCCGUCUACAACGUGACGCCUAUAGAGCUAAGGCAAUUUCUGACCUCGCCUCUGCUAACGCCACCGUUGGACGCCGUGCGGGUAAGCCUCAUCCUGGUGGUAGGGAUUUCUCUAGUUCUGUUGUUUCUGGACUGUCUCAGGGGAGUGGAGAGUAUUUCACGCGAAUCGGUGUUGGUACUCCUUCUAAGUAUGUUUAUAUGGUGUUGGAUACGGGAAGUGACGUCGUUUGGAUCCAGUGUUCGCCUUGUAAAAAGUGCUACACUCAAUCCGACCCGGUUUUUGACCCGAGUAAAUCGUCUUCCUUCCUUGGUGUUGCAUGUGGGUCGCCUUUGUGUCGUAGGUUGGAUUCUGGUAGCUGUAACCGAAAGAAAUGUCUUUAUCAGGUUUCUUACGGAGACGGUUCUUUCACCGUCGGCGAUUUUUCAACUGAAACGUUAACUUUCAGGGGGACACGCGUGAACAACGUGGCCCUUGGAUGCGGCCACGAUAACGAAGGUUUAUUCGUCGGAGCCGCUGGUUUACUGGGUCUCGGCCGGGGUAGACUAUCAUUUCCGACUCAAGCUGGUCGGAGAUUCGGCAGAAAAUUCUCCUACUGCCUUGUCGACCGGUCCGCUUCCUCUAAACCAUCCUAUCUAGUCUUCGGCGAAUCUGCAGUUUCUCGAACCGCUGUGUUUACCCCACUCGUCAAAAACCCAAAACUAGACACGUUUUACUACGUGGAGCUCACCGGAUUCAGCGUCGGCGGCGCUAGGGUUCCUGCAAUCAGGCCGUCGCUGUUCAAGCUAGACGCCGCUGGUGAUGGUGGUGUGAUAGUAGAUUCAGGAACUUCAGUGACCCGAUUGACCCGACCCGCUUACGUAGCUCUGAGGGACGCUUUCCGAAUGGGUGCUAAAGAUCUGAAAAGAGCACCCGAUUUCUCAUUGUUCGAUACAUGUUUCGAUCUAUCAGGGAAAACGGAAGUGAAGGUUCCGACAGUGGUUAUGCAUUUCCGUGGAGCUGACGUGUCAUUGCCGGCGUCAAAUUACUUGAUUCCGGUGGACAGUGAUGGGACAUUCUGCUUUGCAUUUGCCGGUACAAUGAGUGGAUUGUCGAUUAUCGGAAACAUUCAGCAGCAAGGUUUCAGGGUAGUGUUCGAUCUUGCUGGGAAUCGCCUAGGCUUUGCUCCUCGUGGGUGCGCUUAAAUUAACGAGAGAUUAUUAUAAAAUUGCUUCCAAAUUCCCCAGUUUAUUAUAUGUUUGAUGAUUUUUCUUUGGUUUGGGGUGUAUUAGGAGAAGAUAAAGGAACAUGAUUAGAUGUUGUGUGUUUGUAUUAUGUGUUGUAAUACAGGGUUAAGAGUAUGUAGUGAUAAUUAGUGUAGAUUUGUAACUCAAAACACUCUGUUUUCUGUAAGAUGGGGCGAGGUUGAUAGUAGCUGCAAAAUGUGCGGCGCUGCUUAAACUUGCUAUUGAUUUAUAUAUUUUUCUUUUUAUGUUUUCA
rnacentral:misc_RNA from 1 species